CCAGGAUAUAUUUAGUUGAAGUGCAGCUGGGGAAGUGCUUGAACAAGGGAGCUUUUGUCCUCAUGCUGAAGUGUUUUUCUUAACUCCCCAAGGGUGGAAAACUCAAGCCACCCACUCUAUUUUCUCUUCUUUGGGGGAUGUUCUUAUUCUGAAAGUUUAGAAUUAUCUGGGGUUUGUUGUCUGCAAGGAAACUGAGCAACUCUGAUGCAGCGUUGACACAAAAAUUUCAAGCAGACACCCCUGUUGGAAGACACAGUUAAGAGAUUAAUUAAAAUGCAGAUAAUUUCUGAACACAUUAUAUGUGUUUACCUUCUUGCAAUUAAUUUUCUUUUGGUUCAAACUGGAAAUUAGGUAUUUUCAAAUGUCUUUACUGGGACAAAUUUAUGGAGUUAAAAACAUAAUUAAGUUUUAUAAGCUGACAGAACCCUGUUUCACUUGAGUUGAUUCACACUUUCCAGUAAUGAAAGAUUUACUUCUGUGCUGAUGAGCACAGCUUCUUUGCAACAGAUCACUGAUGAGCCAUGUAAUGGCUCCUGCUCAUGUCCUCCUUGGAAGACCACUGAGAACUGCCACCCUGCUACGAGGUUUUGCAGCCACUAUGAGGCUUGCCCUGGAAACCCAGGCACAGUGUUGUGCAGAAGCCCAGGCCACAUGAAGAAGCCAUGCAUGUGUAUUCUAGACAAUAGCCCCCAGCCAACACCAACAUCAUCUACCAGAUGUGAGAGUAAACCAGCCCUCUGGGGCUCCCGUCCCAGCCUUCAGUCUCCCACCUGUGCCCAGACAUGAUGGUGCCAACUGCACCCUGUCUCAAUCUCUGACCCACAGAAACAGGGACACGGGUUCGAGCCCUGGUCCGGGAAGAUCCCACAUGCCACUUGCAACUAAGCCCGUGCGCCACAACUACUGAGCCUGCACUCUAGAGCCUGCGAGCCACAACUACUGAAGCCCAUGCAUCUAGAGCCCGUGCUCCACAACAAGAGAAGCCACUGCAAUGAGAAGCCCACACAUAGCAAUGAAGAGUAGCCCCCGCUCGCCACAACUAGAGAAAGCCUGCGCACAGCAACGAAGACCCAACGCAGCCAAAAAUAUAUAAAUAAAUAAAUUUAUAUUUAAAAAAAUUAAUCAUGUCCAAGUCUCACAGCCAGUCAGUGGCAGAGCCAGAAUGGGAAGCCCAGGCAGCUUGUCAUCAAAGUCUGGGGUGAAGUGUCCCCAGAAGUCAGAGCGCUAGAGAGUGCGAGAGACCACAGCUCUGCUCACCCCUGGGAAUCUUGCCAAAGGCCCACAUGGAAACACCUACAGUGACCUGACAUGGCCACACCUUCCACUCCAAACUCCAUCCUGGCUGGUUUGCCCUUCUUUCUCUUCCUCCCCUCUUACCAAAACAGUUGCCUGGAAAUUAGAAAUUAGAUCUGCAAAUGCCCAAGGGAACCUGCCCUGGGGCACGGGUGGGGCGGGGGGCCUCCCAGAACAAACACUGCUGCAGGCUCUUGGGGUCUCCCCAGCAGGUCCUCACUGUGAUGUGACCUGGUCUCCCACCCUCCAGACCCAAUGUUGAAUUCAUCUCCUGGGACUCACAGGAGAAAAGGGAGCUUAAGCAGCCUGAAUACUAUAGUUCUGCUGCCUUGAAAGUCUGGCUUUGUUUCUACUUUUUCUAGGUAAGUAAUUUUUUUUUAAUAGCAAAUAUACACAUGAUAAAAACUCAACACAAAAAGCAUAUUAUAUCUAGUGAAUAUGAUUCUUCAUUUUAACCCUGCCCCUAUCCCCAAACCUUAAGCCAACCUUUCUUGUCCUUCCAGUCAAAGAUAUUCUGGCAUGUAUAACCACAGAGGUAUAUAUUUUUAACCGCACAUACCAUACACUAUUCUGUGUCUUCCUUUUUAUUUUCAUUUCUAAUGCUCAGUAUAGCUUGGAAAUGAUUCCUUGUCAAUACCUAAAGCACUCUCUUGCCUUUUUAAAGGAGCUGCGUAGAUUCCUAUUAUAGGGCUGAGUCAUAAUUUAUCUAACCAGUCCCCUGUGAGAGCGUUUAGGUUGCUUCGAAUCGGAAGCUCCGUGAAUCUGCUUGUUUUUUUGUUGCAAUGCCAGGUAGGCCCCUCUGAGAUCUUUAAUGUCACCUGUAGGGGGAGGGAGGGCAGGAGGGGAGUUGAUGGCAAGCCCUCUCCCAGCCAGCAAGGCAUACAUUACUGCUGGAGUUUCCUCCUUGGGGCUAUAGUCAGAAGAGAAUUCAUACAGCUACAGCGGGGUACAGCUCAGAAAAAGCAUCCAGACGGCAGCUCAACUGAUCACUGAAAUUUGGCAGCAACAGCAGCAGCGGUAAUGAAAACACACCACAACUUUUCCCAAAUAUGUCUGGCCAGCAUGCCACUGCCAUCUUUUCCAGCAGGACCUUCAGUCCCGGGGACUGGGCUGAUUCUGUGACCUGUGCAGCUGGAGGCACUGCUUAUAAUCCAGGGACCAAGAGAUAGGGAACGAAUAGGAUGGGGUUCUUUGAAGGUUACCUACCCGCGGCAGUUCCUCCUGUGAAAAGACCAAGGCAUCCUGAUUCAACUCAGUUCCCCUAUUCUCUCUGCUGAAAUCAGAGCUUUUGGUAAGGCUAGUGGUUCCUCCUAGAAAAGCUGACAGCUGAAUGUCUGCUUCUGCCCAGCUUUGUCUGAAGAUGCCUCACUCGACUGACUGCCAGCCCUGGGUGAGCCCCUCCAUGAUUUUCCUCCCAAAGGGAGACACCAACACUGAGAAACCACACCCCCACUGCAACCCCAAAAUACAUUCAGCCAGGACAGAGGAGAAACCUUCUCAAUAAGGUGUCCACUGUUAACAACAAAAAUUAGUUAAAAGUGACAAACAUAAAGCCAUUGAUUUCCCCCACCAACAUUUUAUCGUGUUUAUUCCAAACAAAAAGAGGCAUUGAAAGAAUUAGGCAGUGAACACCCAUCUAGCUACCGCUUAGAUUCUGCAACGAACAUUUUGCUGGAUUUUCUUUCCUUAUGAUACAUCCUUCAAUCUCUCCAAGCCACUGAUGUCUGAACCUUUUUAAAAACCUGGCUUAAAUAUUCAACUCAUUUGCUUUUAAAACUUCAGAACUGGAAACGUAACACCUUGUUUAGUGAACACAGAAUAAUUUAGUUCCAUUCCAAAUUAGGCUAGUAGGGAGGAAAGAGUGAAAGAAGGUUAGAGGAGAAUGGAGAGGGAGAAUGUGGCCAGGGAAGGCAAAGAGAGGGUGAGAGAUGAGAAGGGGCCGCAGAGGGAGGGUGUGAAGACACAGGGUGUCUUGGGGUUUGCAAAUGAGUGUGGAUGAGGUCAAGAGCUGGGGUGUAGAGGUCUUAUACCCAGGCAGCAGCUGCUAUGCGGUGAGGGUAAUGCUGAGGCCCAGAGCAGCUGCCAACACUGAGCAUACCUGUUGACCUCCCCCUGCCACGGUCAGGACAGCCACAGGCAGCUGCCCCAGCACUCCGCAUGGAGUCCUGGCCAUGGAGCUCAGACAGCGGUCAAAUGGAAGAGAUCAAAUGGAAGAGAUCUGGGAUUUGAACCCCAUCCGUGUUAUCUCUCCUGACACACAAGACCUUGUACAGUUACUUAACCUCUCUGAGCGGCUAUAUUCUAAUCCAUAAAAUGGGCAUAUUAAGAAUAUAUACAGGACUUCCCUGGCGGCACAGUGGUUAAGAAUCUGCCUGCCAAUGCAGGGGACACGGGUUCAAGCCCUGGUCCAGGAAGAUCCCACAUGCCACGGAGCAACUAAGCCUGUGCGCCACAACUACUGAGCCUGCGCUUUAGAGCCCGCGAGCCACAACUACUGAAGCCCACGUGCCUAGAGCCUGCGCUCCACAAUAAGAGAAGCCACCGCAAUGAGAAGCCCGCGCACUGCAACAAAGAGUAGCCCCCGCUCGCCACAACUAGAGAAAGCCUGCGUGCAGCAAUGAAGACCCAAUGCAGCCAAAAAUAAAUAAAUAAAUAAGAAGGGGGGAAAAAAAGAAUAUAUACCUCGUGUGUGUGUGUGUGUGUGUGUGUGUGUGUGUGUGUAUGUUGGGUAGGUAAACAGAUGAAUGCAUAUAUGUAAUAAUGGUUAAUGUGUUGCAUGCCAGAUGUCUGCCAGGCAUUGGGAGAAAUGGCUUACACACUUCAUCUCAUCCCAUCCUUAUAUGAGCCCUAGGAGGUGGACUUUAUUAUUGGCCUCAUUUUAGAAAUGUGGAAACUGAAACUCAGAUUGGUGAAGUCACUUCUUCAGGUGGCCCAGCUGGUAAUGGUGGAGCCAGUCCAGGCCCCCCUGCCUGCAGAGCCCCCAUGCUGUGCUGCCCUCAGCACCCUGCCUGGUACAGACCUUAUAACACGUGACUAAACAGGCCUGCCACAGAGGGUUCUUGCAAAGUCAAAGUGAGACAACCCAUGUGAAAGUGCGAAAACUACCACAUCCUUUAACAUGUUUGUUGAAUGACUGAAUGAAUGUUGGUGAGCUCAUCAAAUACUUGUCAUAUUCUUCAGGGGCUUUCUCCAAUCAUUAACUCUAUGGAGUUAUGGUUAUGGGGAUAACCAUGACGAAAAAUCUCCCUAAUCCCGCACUAUACAAAUGUCAGGUUUAACAAAUAAAUUACAAGGGAGUUGAUCUUCUUUGUGUUCUGACCUCACUGAUAUAACAGCAACAUCAAACCUAUUAUAUUUUUUGCCUGUUAUCAAAUGAUAGGGCAGCAGAUUACAAAUGCCAGGGUCUAGGGCAAGCCCUUCCUUCUCCUGCCUGCUCCAACCUGGCAUUGGACUUCUCCAGUAUGCCAAGGGCAACCCAAAACCCAGGACAGCCCCAGAGAGCAGAGCCGAGAGCCUCUUCACCCUGUGUGACUUUGGUAAGGACCCUCCAUGGACUGGUGGCAGGGGGAUGCUUUGCGUAGUUGUUUUUCCACUUUUUGUGAUUGACUUCCCUUUCAAAACUCGUAAAAUAAUAACCCUAUGCAUUUAUCCCUAACUGUAAUAAAGAUACAUAGAAUAAAGAAGAUCAUCUAUGGAAAAGUACUUUGAAAGUUUCUUUACAAUUUUUAUUGAAAUGCAGGACUUAAAAAAUCAGUUCAACAGCCAAAAAAUGGAAGCAUCCGAAUCACCUAUCAGUGGCUGAAUGGAUAAUGUAGUCUAUUCAUACAAUGAAAUAUUAUUCAACCUUAAAAAGGAAGGAUAGUUUGACACAUGCUACAACAUAGGUGGACCUUGAGGACCUUACGUUAAGUGAAACAGUCACAAAAGGACAAAUACUGUAUAAUCCCACUUAUAUGAGGCAUCUGGAGUAGUCAAAUUCAUAAAGUCAGAAAGUAAGAUGGUGGUUGCCAGGGCCUGGAGGGAAAGGGGAGUUAUUGUUUAAUAGGUAUAGAGUUUCAUUUUAGGAUGAUGAAAAAGUUCUGGAGACGGAUGGUGGUGAUGGUUGCACUGAACUGUACAUUUUAAGAUGGUUAAGAUGGUAAAUUUUAUGUUAUGUGUACUUUACCACAAUUAAAAAAAUAAAUAAUAAUCAGUUCAUUUGCGUUAUGGUGGUGGUUUUGUCUCAUUUCUACCUUAGCCAGUUAAGAGGACAUUAUAUUUUUCACUUUUAGUAAG